CCUACGGGUGGCUGCAGUGGGGAAUAUUGGUCAAUGGGCGCAAGCCUGACCCAGCAAUGUCGCGUGAAGGAAGACGGCUCUCUGGUUGGUAACCUCUUUGUCAGGGGAAGAGCAGAAGUCGAUACGUUGAAAACAAGCCACGGCUAACUACGUGCCAGCAGCCGGCGUCAUACGAGGGUGGCAGGCGUUGUCCGGGAUUACUGGGUUAAAAUGGUGGGUAGCCGGGAAGGCAAGUGAGGUGGGAAAUCCGGGGGCUCAAACUCCGAAUUGCAUUUGAAACUGUUGUUCUUGAGUACUGGAGAGGUAGACGGAAUUCGUUGUGUAGCGGUGAAAUGCGUAGAUAUAAGGAGGAACACCGGUGGCGAAGGCAGUCUGCUGGACUGCAACUGACGGUGAGGCGCGAAAGCGUGGGGAGCAAACAGGAUUAGAUACCCGUGUAGUC
rnacentral:rRNA from 1 species